GAUGUAUGAACAUCUGCUAAAAACCGCCACGUCCUGUGGCGAACGCAGAUGCCAGCACAUCCUGUGCC
rnacentral:sRNA from 1 species